rnacentral:rRNA from 1 species
AUUGAACGCUGGCGGCAGGCCUAACACAUGCAAGUCGAACGGUAACAGGAAGAAGCUUGCUUCUUUGCUGACGAGUGGCGGACGGGUGAGUAAUGUCUGGGAAACUGCCUGAUGGAGGGGGAUAACUACUGGAAACGGUAGCUAAUACCGCAUAACGUCGCAAGACCAAAGAGGGGGACCUUCGGGCCUCUUGCCAUCGGAUGUGCCCAGAUGGGAUUAGCUAGUAGGUGGGGUAACGGCUCACCUAGGCGACGAUCCCUAGCUGGUCUGAGAGGAUGACCAGCCACACUGGAACUGAGACACGGUCCAGACUCCUACGGGAGGCAGCAGUGGGGAAUAUUGCACAAUGGGCGCAAGCCUGAUGCAGCCAUGCCGCGUGUAUGAAGAAGGCCUUCGGGUUGUAAAGUACUUUCAGCGGGGAGGAAGGGAGUAAAGUUAAUACCUUUGCUCAUUGACGUUGCCCGCAGAAGAAGCACCGGCUAACUCCGUGCCAGCAGCCGCGGUAAUACGGAGGGUGCAAGCGUUAAUCGGAAUUACUGGGCGUAAAGCGCACGCAGGCGGUUUGUUAAGUCAGAUGUGAAAUCCCCGGGCUCAACCUGGGAACUGCAUCUGAUACUGGCAAGCUUGAGUCUCGUAGAGGGGGGUAGAAUUCCAGGUGUAGCGGUGAAAUGCGUAGAGAUC